rnacentral:sRNA from 1 species
GCCAGGCAUAGUGAUGCACACCUGUAAUCCCAGUGGCUUGGGAGGCUGAGGCGGGAGAAUCACAAGUUCAAAGCCAGCCUCAGCAACUUAGCGAGAACCUAAGCAACUUAGUGAAACCCUGUCUCUA